rnacentral:rRNA from 1 species
AACGAACGCUGGCGGCAGGCCUAACACAUGCAAGUCGAACGCUGCAGCAAUGCAGAGUGGCAGACGGGUGAGUAACGCGUGGGAACCUUCCCAGUGGUACGGAAUAGCCCAGGGAAACUUGGGGUAAUACCGUAUAAGCCCCUAGGGGGAAAGAUUUAUCGCCAUUGGAUGGGCCCGCGUCGGAUUAGCUAGUUGGUGGGGUAAUGGCUCACCAAGGCGACGAUCCGUAGCUGGUCUGAGAGGAUGAUCAGCCACACUGGGACUGCGACACGGCCCAGACUCCUACGGGAGGCAGCAGUGGGGAAUAUUGGACAAUGGGCGCAAGCCUGAUCCAGCCAUGCCGCGUGAGUGACGAAGGCCUUAGGGUUGUAAAGCUCUUUUGGCGGGGACGAUAAUGACGGUACCCGCAGAAUAAGCUCCGGCUAACUUCGUGCCAGCCGCCGCCGUAA